rnacentral:tRNA from 1 species
GCCCGGGUAGCUCAGUCGGCAGAGCAACUCCAUGGUAAGGAGUAGGCCACCGGUUCAAAUCCGGUCUCGGGCUCAA